AUACGUAGGUGGCGAGCGUUGUCCGGAAUUACUGGGUGUAAAGGGCGUGUAGGCGGGAAUGUAAGUCAGAUGUGAAAUACCAUGGCUCAACUGUGGGGCUGCAUCUGAAACUAUGUUUCUUGAGUGCUGGAGAGGAAAGCGGAAUUCCUAGUGUAGCGGUGAAAUGCGUAGAUAUUAGGAGGAACACCAGUGGCGAAGGCGGCUUGCUGGACAGUAACUGCAGCUGAGGGGCGAAAGCGUGGGGAGCAACAAGGAUUAUAUACCCUGGUAGUCCACGCUGUAAACGAUGGAUACUAGGUGUAGGAGGUAUCGACCCCUUCUGUGCCGGAGUUAACACAAUAAGUAUCCCACCUGGGGAGUACGGCCGCAAGGUUGAAACUCAAAGGAAUUGACGGGG
rnacentral:rRNA from 1 species